CAGCAGCCGCGGUAAUACGAAGGUCCCGAGCGUUGUUCGGAAUCACUGGGCGUAAAGGGAGCGUAGGCGGCGUGGUAAGUCAGAUGUGAAAUCCCGGGGCUCAACCCCGGAACUGCAUCCGAUACUGCCGUGCUAGAGGAUUGGAGAGGUAGCUGGAAUUCUUGGUGUAGCAGUGAAAUGCGUGGAGAUCAAGAGGAACACUCGUGGCGAAAGCGAGCUACUGGACAAUAUCUGACGCUGAGGCUCGAAGGCCAGGGUAGCGAAAGGGAUUAGAUACCCCUGUAGUCCCUGUCUCUUAUAC
rnacentral:rRNA from 1 species